UGUUUUCAUUCUUCUGACACCAACAACAGUUCAAUUACGAAUAUUUUAACCUGCGUCAUACUUAUAAUAGACAGUUGAUAUAUAAGGUUCAGCAGCAGACUGGUUAACCAAGAGUUGGAGGAGAAGCAGGACAGGAUUAGAGGAACGUUUUGAAGGCAGCUACUGCUUUGGGUAAAACAUUGAAAAUGGGGGCUAAAGGAAUCUUGAUGAUUCUACUCAUACUAAAUGCAAGUACAACAAUGAUGGAGGCACAGGCUCCACUCACAACAACAGCUGCACCAACCACAACGACAACGUAUCCAACCACAAAAACAGCAGCUCCAACUACAACCACAGCGGCUCCAACCACAGCUGCACCAACCACAACCACAGCUGCACAAACCACAACCACUGCUGCAGCAACCACAACAACAGCGACUCCAACUACAACAACAGCUGCACCAACCACAACUACAAUGGCUGCACCAACCACAAC